rnacentral:rRNA from 1 species
GUGGGGAAUCUUGCGCAAUGGGCGAAAGCCUGACGCAGCCAUGCCGCGUGAAUGAUGAAGGUCUUAGGAUUGUAAAAUUCUUUCACCGAGGACGAUAAUGACGGUACCCGGAGAAGAAGCCCCGGCUAACUUCGUGCCAGCAGCCGCGGUAAUACGAAGGGGGCUAGCGUUGCUCGGAAUUACUGGGCGUAAAGGGCGCGUAGGCGGACAGUUUAGUCAGAGGUGAAAGCCCAGGGCUCAACCUUGGAAUUGCCUUUGAUACUGGCUGUCUUGAGUACGGGAGAGGUGAGUGGAACUCCGAGUGUAGAGGUGAAAUUCGUAGAUAUUCGGAAGAACACCAGUGGCGAAGGCGACUCACUGGCCCGUUACUGACGCUGAGGCGCGAAAGCGUGGGGAGCAAACAGGAUUAGAUACCCGAGUAGUCC